GAUGAACGCUGGCGGCGUGCUUAACACAUGCAAGCGAACGAACCUUCGGGUUAGUGGCGGACGGGUGAGUAACGCGUGAGAAUCUGCCCUCAGGAGGGGGAUAACGGCUGGAAACGGCCGCUAAUACCCCCAUAUGCCGCGAGGUGAAAUGAAUUUCGCCUGAGGAUGAGCUCGCGUCUGAUUAGCUAGUUGGUGGGGUAAAGGCCUACCAAGGCAUCGAUCAGUAGCUGGUCUGAGAGGAUGAUCAGCCACACUGGGACUGAGACACGGCCCAGACUCCUACGGGAGGCAGCAGUGGGGAAUUUUCCGCAAUGGGCGAAAGCCUGACGGAGCAACGCCGCGUGAGGGAUGAAGGCCUCUGGGCUGUAAACCUCUUUUAUCAAGGAAGAAGAUCUGACGGUACUUGAUGAAUAAGCCACGGCUAAUUCCGUG
rnacentral:rRNA from 1 species